rnacentral:rRNA from 1 species
UACGUAGGGUGCGAGCGUUGUCCGGAAUUAUUGGGCGUAAAGGGCUCGUAGGCGGUUUGUCGCGUCGGGAGUGAAAACCCAGGGCUUAACCCUGGGCUGGCUUCCGAUACGGGCAGACUAGAGGUAUGCAGGGGAGAACGGAAUUCCUGGUGUAGCGGUGAAAUGCGCAGAUAUCAGGAGGAACACCGGUGGCGAAGGCGGUUCUCUGGGCAUUACCUGACGCUGAGGAGCGAAAGCGUGGGGAGCAAACAGG